CCUACGGGUGGCUGCAGUAAGGAAUAUUGGUCAAUGGAGGAAACUCUGAACCAGCCAUCCCGCGUGAAGGAUGAAGGGGCUCUGCCUUGUAAACUUCUUUUGUCUGGGGCGAAAAAGCUCGAUUUAUCGAGAACUGACGGUACCAGAAGAAUAAGCACCGGCUAACUCCGUGCCAGCAGCCGCGGUAAUACUGAGGGUGCAAGCGUUAUCGGGAAUCACGGUGUCGAAAGCGUGCGUAUGCGUCAUUGUUGAAAGGCUGUGGCUUAACCAUGGAAUUGCAAUUGAUACUGCAGAGCUUGAAUGAGGUUGAGGUUGGCGGAAUGUGACAUGUAGCGGUGAAAUGCUUAGAUAUGUCAUGGAACACCGAUUGCGAAGGCAGCUGACUGGACCUAUAUUGACGCUGAGGCACGAAAGCGUGGGGAGCGAACAGGAUUAGAUACCCGAGUAGUC
rnacentral:rRNA from 1 species